rnacentral:rRNA from 1 species
GAGUUUGAUCCUGGCUCAGGAUGAACGCUAGCGACAGGCUUAACACAUGCAAGUCGAGGGGCAGCGGGGGAGUAGCAAUACUCCUGCCGGCGACCGGCGCACGGGUGAGUAACACGUAUGGAACCUGCCCGCAGCAGGGGGAUAAGCGGAAGAAAUUCCGUCUAAUACCGCGUAACAAUCCCCGGAGGCAUCUCCGGGGAUUUAAAGGAGGCAACUCCGGCUGCGGAUGGCCAUGCGGCGCAUUAGCUAGUUGGCGGGGUAACGGCCCACCAAGGCGACGAUGCGUAGGGGUUCUGAGAGGAAGGUCCCCCACACUGGUACUGAGACACGGACCAGACUCCUACGGGAGGCAGCAGUGAGGAAUAUUGGUCAAUGGCCGAGAGGCUGAACCAGCCAAGUCGCGUGAGGGAUGACGGUCCUAUGGAUUGUAAACCUCUUUUGUCGGGGAGCAAAGGACGCCACGUGUGGUGUUUUGCGAGUACCCGAAGAAAAAGCAUCGGCUGACUCCGUGCCAGCAGCCGCGGUAAUACGGAGGAUGCGAGCGUUAUCCGGAUUUAUUGGGUUUAAAGGGUGCGCAGGCGGAAUGUCAAGUCAGCGGUAAAAUUUCGGGGCUCAACCCCGUCGUGCCGUUGAAACUGGCGUUCUUGAGUGAGCGAGAAGUAUGCGGAAUGCGUGGUGUAGCGGUGAAAUGCAUAGAUAUCACGCAGAACUCCGAUUGCGAAGGCAGCAUACCGGCGCUCAACUGACGCUCAUGCACGAAAGCGUGGGUAUCGAACAGGAUUAGAUACCCUGGUAGUCCACGCAGUAA